ACGGAGGGUGCAAGCGUUACUCGGAAUUACUGGGCGUAAAGAGCGUGUAGGCGGGUGAAUAAGUUGGAAGUGAAAUCCUAUGGCUUAACCAUAGAACUGCUUCCAAAACUGUAUACCUAGAAUAUGGGAGAGGUAGAUGGAAUUUCUGGUGUAGGGGUAAAAUCCGUAGAUAUUAGAAGGAAUACCGAUUGCGAAGGCGAUCUACUGGAACAUAAUUGACGCUGAGACGCGAAAGCGUGGGGAGCAAACAGG
rnacentral:rRNA from 1 species